rnacentral:rRNA from 1 species
AUGAUUAUUGUGUUUAAGCAACACAGCCAACUUAGUAGUACUAUGUAUUUAUUUCUCCGACAAGUAUUUUCGGACGGUAUGUAUUUAUUUCUUCGACUAUUUUGGGACGGAUGGAGUAUGUAUUUGUGUAUGCAUGGACGGAUGGAGUAUGUAUUUGUGCAUGCAUGUGGCAGCGUUCUUAAUCUAGAUUCCCAGUCAGAGCUUGGAUGGCGUCCCUCUGGGAUGGUGCACCACGAUGAGGCCGUAGGCAUCCAGUGUGAGGAAGUCGUCCAGCUCCGGCGCGACGCACUGCCGGAUGAAGACCCUGCCAGCCUCCGCGUAGCGCCCCCGGCGGAACCUCUCCGCGCCGACCUCUGCCUGGACCCUCGCCAUCUCCUCCUCCACGACGCGCGCGAGCAGCUCCGGCGUGGCUCGGACCGCCACGCCGCCGGCGUCGAGCACCGCGCCAUGGCGGAGCCACUGCCAGUUCUGCACGCGGCUGAUCUCCGCGGUGGCCGCGUCCUCCAUGAGGUUGUACAGCGGCACGGACCCGGACCCGCCCAGCCACGCCGCGAGGUACUGCACGCCGACCCGGGUGUUGAGCCGCAGCCCCUCCACCGUGCGCGUACCCCGCGGCGGCUGGAUCAGGUCCUCCUCCGUGAUGGCGUCGACGGGUGCCGCCGCGUCGAUCUGGUUAGACUUCCCUCCGAGGUGGCCCUCGAAGACCUCCCGGAUCGCCGGGAUGAGCCCUGGGUGCGCCGCCCACGUGCCGUCGUGCCCCGCGCGCACCUCCCUCAGCUUGUCCCUGCGCACCAGCUCCAGCGCCGCCUCGUUCGCCGCCGCGUCGUCCUUGAUCGGAAUCUGAGCCGCCUGUCAAAUUGA